rnacentral:lncRNA from 1 species
CUAGAAGGUGAGAUGUGGAGAUGGGGACCAGGACCCAGUGCUCCUAGAGGAGGAAGCCAGCUCCUGAGAAAUCACACUCUGUGAUCAUAUGUGAAGGUGCACCACAGAUGACGUCCUCUAACCCUGGUAUCCAAGACUCCUAAAUUCCCACCUCUCACCCUGCCUUUUCACUACAGCACCAGGAACUUUUACGAUUAUUCAGACAGUUCUUCACAGGAGCCUUCCUGAUGACUGCUAUAGGAAGCAAAGAUACUGAAUGCCAAGCACAUUUGAAAGAGACUAGCACCAAAGGAUGAGAGAUCAUGGGUAGUAGAAACACAAACGUUCCCAAAAGGAAACAACGUGAGGCAAAACUUGCCCCGUCUUCACCGAUCUCUCCCGUGCUAUGGUGGCCAGCAUCCCGAGCCUCUGUCACCAUGCCCUGUGGUCUCAGUGGCCCCAUCUUACACAUCAUCCUCAUUCACCAAUUCCGUUUGUGCCCAGUUCCCAAAGCGCUGCAUUUUGGGUUCCAUUGUGAGAGCCAACUAAUUUAAUAAUCCCUUCUAAUAUUUCCUAUGUUAAUCUCUCACCACAGAAACAUAAAGGGAAUAGUAACACUAGUCACAACCAACAUGACAGCAUUGCCAUGCCGAGACGCCCUUGGCCAGCUAUGGGUCUGAGCCUCUCUCCAACAGCACAGGUGGGGAGGAC